UGUUGACAACUCAGUCCCCCCCAGUUCAAAAAUCCUAUCUGCGCCCCUGUGCAGCGGUGCCACAUAAAUGCUCUACCAGCACCAAACACUGAGGAUAUAAGAUCCAAGUGGCCAUACCUGUUCACCCAGAAAGGGCUUAAUUCUCACUUUGAGCUUCUCACUGAUAUCCCUCUGCUGCAUACACUUGAGCUUGCCAUGGAGGGGUGUGGUAGAGCCAUUGUGGAACUCUUCAAGACUAAACCCACCAAUGCAGGAGUCAAGGAAGUUCUCUGAUGUCGAGCUGUCCUUUUUUGUCACCCAGCUUCUGAUGGCUCAUUUCUCAGAGAACAUUACAGGACUAGUUCUUCUUGUAAAUGAAUCUGCCACUACAGCUGACAUUGAGAGGAUAAUCUCCAUUCCUGCAACUCCUCAUCUAAUACUGCUUGUUUCAGGUGAAACAGCAGGAAGCUGUAUUCAAUGUUGGAUGGUCAGCCUUGAGGGCCAUGUCAUCUCAUCUCAUCUCAUUAUCUCUAGCCGCUUUAUCCUUCUACAGGGUCGCAGGCAAGCUGGAGCCUAUCCCAGCUGACUACGGGCGAAAGGCGGGGUACACCCUGGACAAGUCGCCAGGUCAUCACAGGGCUGACACAUAGACACAGACAACCAUUCACACCUACGGUCAAUUUAGAGUCACCAGUUAACCUAACCUGCAUGUCUUUGGACUGUGGGGGAAACCGGAGCACCCGGAGGAAACCCACGUGGACACGGGGAGAACAUGCAAACUCCACACAGAAAGGCCCUUGCCGGCCCCGGGGCUCGAACCCAGGACCUUCUUGCUGUGAGGCGACAGCGCUAACCACUACACCACCGUGCCGCCCGGGCCAUGUCAUAUGUGAGGGAAUCCAACCCACCUUCUUGACUGGGCUUGCUGCCUUAUUUUCCACCUUCUACAUCUUCAAUCUCAAAUACCAAGAAGAGGCCUCAUGCACUCUUGAGUUCAUCCAAAGGCGCUUCAUUGGUAUAAACCCUGAGCGAGGCACCAAGGCUGAACGGGGCAAAGUCUUGUAAAAAAAAACUGGCAAAGCCACCAGCAAAAAGAUGACAACAGUCAACCCACAUGUAUCCACUCUGCUGAGAAGACUCAUGGACUUUCAGUGGGACUUCAUUUAAAAUGGGUAGAAAGUCGGAAUCCCUGUUAUUCUCGCUAAGUUAUUUGUAUCCUGUUUCUGAACAUACACAUACCACUGUUUGAAUGUUUCAUGCUGGCAUGUUUUGACUGUCUGAGGGGUUAGGUCAGGACUUUGGAUAUUUUUUCAGGGCUUGUGAUACUUUUGUUUGGAUUUUUAUGUUCAUUGACCAUAUUACAAUAUAUAGCAGAUUACAAGAGGAUACUAAGGGCACACACAAAGUUUGUAACUUUAUGAUUUAUCUAUUGCUCAACUGUCUGUAACUGUCAGUAUUCCACAAAGAAAGCAAGUUUGCCGGGUGCUAUAAUUUCUGUAAAUUGUCUUUGUCUUAUUUUGAACCUGAAUUGUGAAUCAUAGCUGCAGAAUUUAUUCAGGGUUUUUUUUUAUUUUUUGUUGUUUUUUAAACACACUAUCAUGACAAUGCAAAAUGUGCACACUUAUCUGGCUAACUUUCUAAUCUGCUUUGUGGAACAGUCCCUUAGAGGUUUCAUUAUCUGAACGUUGUUGUGGUCAGUUUCAAGUCAAUAUUUCCAAGUCUGAAUGAAUGCCUCGUUCUUUUAUUGCACU